rnacentral:rRNA from 1 species
UACGGGGGGGGUAAGCGUUGUUCGGAAUUACUGGGCGUAAAGGGCUCGUAGGCGGCCAACUAAGUCAGACGUGAAAUCCCUCAGCUUAACUGGGGAACUGCGUCUGAUACUGGAUUGCUUGGAUUCGGGAGAGGAAUGCGGAAUUCCAGGUGUAGCGGUGAAAUGCGUAGAUAUCUGGAGGAACACCGGUGGCGAAGGCGGCAUUCUGGACCGACAUUGACGCUGAGGAGCGAAAGCCAGGGGAGCAAACGGG